GAUUAACGCUGGCGGCGUGCAUAACACAUGCAAGUCGAACGAUGAAACUUUACUGACUUCUUCGGAAAGAUUUAAAGUGGAUUAGUGGCGGACGGGUGAGUAACGCGUGAGUAACCUGCCUUACACAAGGGGAUAGCCUCUGGAAACGGAGAAUAAUACCCUAUAAAGUCUAAUCAGCUCCUGCUGGAAAGACCAAAGAUUUAUCGGUGUAAGAUGGACUUGCGUCUGAUUAGCUAGUUGGUGAGAUAAAAGCUCACCAAGGCGACGAUCAGUAGCCGGCUUGAGAGAGUGUACGGCCACAUUGGGACUGAGACACGGCCCAAACUCCUACGGGAGGCAGCAGUGGGGAAUUUUGCACAAUGGGGGAAACCCUGAUGCAGCGACGCCGCGUGAUUUAGAAGGCCUUCGGGUUGUAAAAAUCUUUUUUACGGGAUGAAAAUGACAGUACCGUAAGAAUAAGGUCCGGCUAAAUACGUGCCAGCAGCCGCGGUAAUACGUAUGGACCGAGCGUUGUCCGGAAUCAUUGGGCGUAAAGGGUACGUAGGCGGCCUAGUAAGUUAGAAGUGAAAGAAUAUAGCUCAACUAUAUAAAGCUUUUAAAACUGUUAGGCUUGAGAGAUGAAAGGGAAAGUGGAAUUCCUAGUGUAGCGGUGAAAUGCGCAGAUAUUAAAAAGAAUACCGGUGGCGAAGGCGACUUACUGGGCUCAUUCUGACGCUGAGGAACGAAAGCGUGGGCAGCAAACAGGAUUAGAUACCCUGGUAGUCCACGCUGUAAACGAUGAGUGCUAGGUAUCGGAAUAAUUCGGUGCCGCAGUUAACACAUUAAGCACUCCGCCUGGGGAGUACGUGCGCAAGCAUGAAACUCAAAGGAAUUGACGGGGACCCGCACAAGCAGCGGAGCAUGUGGUUUAAUUCGAAGCGACGCGAAGAACCUUACCAGGGCUUGACAUACUGAGGACCGGUAUAGAGAUAUACCCUCUUCUUCGGAAGCCUCAAUACAGGUGGUGCAUGGUUGUCGUCAGCUCGUGUCGUGAGAUGUUCAGUUAAGUCUGGCAACGAGCGCAACCCCUAUCUUUAGUUACCAGCAUUUCGGAUGGGGACUCUAAAGAGACUGCCGAUGAUAAAUCGGAGGAAGGUGGGGAUGACGUCAAAUCAUCAUGCCCUAUAUGCCCUGGGCUACACACGUGCUACAAUGGAAGAUACAAAGGGAAGCGAGAUAGUGAUAUUAAGCCAACCUCAAAAAGUCUUUCCCAGUUCGGAUUGUACUCUGCAACUCGAGUACAUGAAGAUGGAGUUGCUAGUAAUCGCAGAUCAGCAUGCUGCGGUGAAUGCGUUCCCGGGUCU
rnacentral:rRNA from 1 species